rnacentral:rRNA from 1 species
AGUGAACGCUGGCGGUAGGCCUAACACAUGCAAGUCGAGCGGCAGCACAGUAAGAGCUUGCUCUUACGGGUGGCGAGUGGCGGACGGGUGAGGAAUACAUCGGAAUCUACUUUUUCGUGGGGGAUAACGUAGGGAAACUUACGCUAAUACCGCAUACGACCUACGGGUGAAAGCAGGGGAUCUUCGGACCUUGCGCGAUUGAAUGAGCCGAUGUCGGAUUAGCUAGUUGGCGGGGUAAAGGCCCACCAAGGCGACGAUCCGUAGCUGGUCUGAGAGGAUGAUCAGCCACACUGGAACUGAGACACGGUCCAGACUCCUACGGGAGGCAGCAGUGGGGAAUAUUGGACAAUGGGCGCAAGCCUGAUCCAGCCAUACCGCGUGGGUGAAGAAGGCCUUCGGGUUGUAAAGCCCUUUUGUUGGGAAAGAAAAGCAGCAGGUUAAUACCCCGCUGCUCUGACGGUACCCAAAGAAUAAGCACCGGCUAACUUCGUG